GAGAAAAGCAUUGUGGGAGAUUUGGGUGAAAGCGCGCAGGUGUUGAGAUUGAAAGCUGCUUGGUGAAUGAAGCAUGCAGGGCCUGUGAGGAGAUGUCCAGCCUGUUGGCGAUGUCCACUGCAGCACGGACCAUGUCUUCCAAGGCCAAGGACUCGUCCCUGAUUCUGCUCCGGAAAGACAAACAACCCAGGUCACCAGGAGUGAAGGGAAGGAAGGAGCGGGUACAGAUGUGGAGAGAGACAGCUCAUCACCAACUGCCUGAGAUGUGUCAUUGGUGGCCAUUACAGCCGAGGAGAUGUCAAAGCCUGAACCCCAAUCUCCACUUUGGCAGAGUAUUGGGGUUGCCAUGGACACCCAGGCCAAGAGGAAGGGCAUCCA